UACGUAGGGGGCUAGCGUUGUCCGGAAUCAUUGGGCGUAAAGGGCGCGUAGGCGGCUUUAUAAGUCGGGGGUGAAAGCCUGUGGCUCAACCACAGAAUUGCCUUCGAUACUGUAGAGCUUGAGACCGGAAGAGGUAAGUGGAACUGCGAGUGUAGAGGUGAAAUUCGUAGAUAUUCGCAAGAACACCAGUGGCGAAGGCGGCUUACUGGUCCGGUUCUGACGCUGAGGCGCGAAAGCGUGGGGAGCAAACAGG
rnacentral:rRNA from 1 species